rnacentral:rRNA from 1 species
AAAUGACCUCAAAUCAGGUAAGAAUACCCGCUGAACUUAAGCAUAUCAAUAAGCGGAGGAAAAGAAAAUAACAAUGAUUCCCUUAGUAACGGCGAGUGAAGGGGGAAAAGCUCAAAUUUUAAAUCUGCUAGGUUUUACCUGUCAGAAUUGUAAUUUGAAGAAGCGUUUUCCGCGUCUCGGUUGGCCCAAAUCCNUUGGGAUAAGGUAUCAUGGAGGGUGAGAAUCCCGUUCGGUUGACCUUAUGACGCACUACGAUACGCUUUCUAAGAGUCGAGUUGUUUGGGAUUGCAGCUCAAAAUGGGAGGUAAAUUUCUCCUAAGGCUAAAUAUUGGCGAGAGACCGAUAGCGAACAAGUACCGUGAGGGAAAGAUGAAAAGAACUUUGAAAAGAGAGUAAAAUAGUACGUGAAAUUGUUGAAAGGGAAACGAUUGAAGUCAGUCGUACCGACGAGAAAUCAGCUUAUCGUGUGUAAACUUGUGGGCGUGCGUGAGUUUCGGCCUCGCUGUUUGCAUGUUUGUGCUCUUUGGGUGUACUUUUUCGUAUGGUAGGCCAACAUCAGUUUCGAUUACUAUAAAAUGACUGGCGGAAUGUAGCUUCGAUUUCGGUUGAAGUGUUAUAGCCUCUGGUAGAUGUGGUGAUUGAGACUGAGGAUUGCAACGAAUAUCCUUUGGGCUAUCCGUCUGGCCUCUGAAAGUUGCUUGGGUGCUGAAAGCUUGCUUAUGGUUAUCUAAGUUAACGGUCAAUAGGUUAGAACGUGAUUACAUUCGUUAAGGAUGUUGGCGUAAUGGCUUUAAACGACCCGUCUUGAAACACGGACCAAGGAGUCUAACAUAUAUGCGAGUGU